rnacentral:tRNA from 1 species
GCCCUCGUAGCUUAACGGAUAAAGCACCAGCCUCCGAAGCUGGUGAUACAGGUUCGAUUCCUGUCGAGGGCACCA